UAACUGAGUUUGUGAUCGGUCUGAGGGCAAAGUUAUUAUCCAUCACAAAGGAGCAUAUACAAAUGUCUUUAACUGUUGAACAGAAAGCAAAAAUCAUCGCUGAGUUUGGUCGUA
rnacentral:ncRNA from 1 species